rnacentral:rRNA from 1 species
AUUGAACGCUGGCGGCAGGCCUAACACAUGCAAGUCGAGCGGAGCGGCGGACGGGUGAUUAAUGCCUAGGAAUCUGCCUGGUAGUGGGGGAUACUGUCCGGAAACGGGCGCUAUAACCCAUUACUAUCAGUUGAGCUUAGGCCGGAUUAGCUGGUUGGUGGGGUAACGGCCGACAAAGGAGACGAUCCGUAACUGGUCUGAGAGGAUGAUCAGGCACACUGGAACUGAGACACGGUCCAGACUCCUACGGGAGGCAGCAGUGGGGAAUAUUGGACAAUGGGCGAAAGCCUGAUCCAGCCAUGCCGCGUGUGUGAAGAAGGUCUUCGGAUUGUAAAGCACUUUAAGUUGGGAGGCGUUACCAACAGAAUAAGCACCGGCUAACUUCGUGCCAGCCGCCGCGGUAAUAC